rnacentral:rRNA from 1 species
GAUCCUGGCUCAGAAUCAACGCUGGCGGCGUGCCUCAGACAUGCAAGUCGAACGCGAACAAAGCCUUCGGGCUUUAAGUAGAGUGGCGCACGGGUGAGUAACACGUGGGUAAUUUACCUCUAAGUGGGGAAUAGCUCGGGGAAACCCGGAUUAAUACCGCAUAAUAUCCUUUGGGAUCAAAGCUUAAUGUGCUUGGAGAGAAGCCCGCGGCAGAUUAGCUAGUUGGUAAGGUAACGGCUUACCAAGGCGACGAUCUGUAUCCGGCCUGAGAGGGCGGUCGGACACACUGACACUGAAGAUACGGGUCAGACUCCUACGGGAGGCAGCAGUCGGGAAUUUUGGGCAAUGGGGGCAACCCUGACCCAGCAACGCCGCGUGAAGGAUGAAGUCCUUCGGGAUGUAAACUUCGAAAGAAUGGGAAGAAUCAAUGACGGUACCAUUUGUAAGCCCCGGCUAACUCCGUGCCAGCAGCCGCGGUAAUACGGAGGGGGCAAGCGUUGUUCGGAUUUACUGGGCGUAAAGGGCGCGUAGGCGGCUUUGAAAGUUACUUGUGAAAUCUUGAGGCUUAACCUCAAGCGGCCAAGUGAUACUACAGAGCUCGAGUGCAGAAGGGGCAAUCGGAAUUCUUGGUGUAGCGGUGAAAUGCGUAGAUAUCAAGAGGAACACCAGAGGCGAAGGCGGAUUGCUGGG